rnacentral:rRNA from 1 species
UACGAAGGGUGCAAACGUUGCUCGGAAUUAUUGGGCGUAAAGCGCACGUAGGCGGCUUAGCAAGUCGGAUGUGAAAUCCCUCGGCUCAACCAAGGAAGUGCAUCCGAAACUGCUGAGCUUGAGUACGAAAGAGGAUCGCGGAAUUCCCAGUGUAGAGGUGAAAUUCGUAGAUAUUGGGAAGAACACCAGUGGCGAAGGCGGCUAACUGGUCCAGAUCUGACGCUGAGGUGCGAAAGCGUGGGGAGCAAACAGG